GGCGGCGUGCCCAAGUGGACUAAGGGAGCGGAUUGCAAAUCCGCCAUUCGUGGGUUCGAAUCCCACCGCCGCCU
rnacentral:tRNA from 1 species